GACGAACGCUGGCGGCGUGCUUAACACAUGCAAGUCGAACGAAGUGGCGAACGGGUGAGUAACGCGUAAUCAACCUACCCUUCAGAGGGGGACAACAGUUGGACACGUCUGCUAAUACCCCAUACUGAAGAUGGAGCUUGCGUGCGAUUGGCUAGUGGGAGGGGUAACGGCCCACCAAGGCGAUGAUCAGUAGCCGGUCUGAGAGGAUGAACGGCCACAUUGGGACUGAGACACGGCCCAGACUCCUACGGGAGGCAGCAGUGGGGAAUCUUCCGCAAUGGACGAAAGUCUGACGGAGCAACGCCGCGUGAGUGAAGAAGGCCUUCGGGUUGUAAAGCUCUGUUAAUCGGGACGGGGAACCGGAAUAGAAAGCCACGCCUAACUACGGGCCAGCAGCCGCGGUAAUA
rnacentral:rRNA from 1 species